UUGAAGGGUAAAUUGAAGAUGUCUUGGCCGAGUUGGGAUAGAAUAAGGCUUCCUAAGUCGAAGGGUGGCAUGCGAUUUAGAGAUAUGAGGGCCUUUAACCAGGCCUUGCUCGCCAAACAAGCUUGGAGAUUAACUAAUAGUCCAGACAACCUAUGUGCCCGCCUUCUGCGUGCCAAGUACUAUCCCCGAGGUAAUAUGCUAGAUACAGUUUUCUCCGGUAAUGCGUCAGCAGUGUGGAAGGGGAUCGAGCAUGGCCUUGAUCUCGUUAAAAAAAAGAUUAAUAUGGUGUGUGGUUGA
rnacentral:rRNA from 1 species